GGCGGGCCCGGCCAUAGGCGCCCAAGGGCUUACAGCUCGGGUUUUUCUGGUUAAUUGCUGCAGCAAGAGGACUAGCCGGCCGUGUGCAGAGCAUCCUUUUUUGACCCUCAGAGAGCCCGGGCGGGAAAAGAGCGUCCCUCAAGAGGGCCUUGGCCCUCGUGGAUCUGGUUCUCUCAGGCCAGCGUUCCUUCGACGGGGACUCUCCUGGCGAGUUCCUAGCCGUUACCCUUUCCUCAGCUCAGCUCCUGGACCAUGGCUCUGGGUCACACAGCCUCCUGGGCUGCUCUUUCGUAUGCCACAUUUUUAUUCACUUUUGAGAGCCUAUGCGCCAUGCACCCUUCUAAUCCCUGAAUGGACGAAACAAAGCCCUUAGACUGACAUUCUAAUGGAGAACAGAAAUCAAGAUGAACGCUUCCUACGGUGAUGAGGAGAAAAGAGCCUCCCUGUGGUAUUCGGAGUCCUGUCUUCCUAUCUUUCUGUUGGUUGAUGUGUAGACACAACGAUUGGAGCCAAGCAGACAACCUGGACCCUGGAGGACAGAGACUCAUGUUGAGGAUGGUGGAUAAAUGGGAUAGAAGUCUGGAUCCUUAAUGAUUGUAGAGCCACCCUAUUAUCCUGGCCUGCUUCCCACUGACAUCUUGCAUAUCCAGGUGCAGAAGACUCCAAGGAAACAGAGGCUAUUGGACCCACAACUUGGAAGGAGCCCGGGUCCCUGAAUGAUCAUGAGGAGGGACGGCCCUGGCUGAGCAAGACACCUACACUGAACUAUUACACGAGC
rnacentral:lncRNA from 1 species